GGUCAAGCGAAUAAGCGCACACGGUGGAUGCCUAGGCGGUCAGAGGCGAUGAAGGACGUGGUAGCCUGCGAAAAGUGUCGGGGAGCUGGCAACAAGCUUUGAUCCGGCAAUAUCCGAAUGGGGAAACCCACUGCUUCGGCAGUAUCCUGCAGUGAAUUCAUAGCUGCUGGAAGCGAACCCGGUGAACUGAAAUAUCUAAGUAACCGGAGGAAAAGAAAUCAACCGAGAUUCCCUAAGUAGUGACGAGCGAACGGGGAACAGCCCUUAAGCUGGAAUGGCUUUAGAAAAACAAUCUGGAAAGAUUGGCCAUAGAAGGUGAUAGCCCUGUAUUUAAAAGGGCCACUCCAGUGAAGACGAGUAGGGCGGGGCACGUGAAACCCUGUCUGAAUAUGGGGGGACCAUCCUCCAAGGCUAAAUACUCCUGACCGACCGAUAGUGAACCAGUACCGUGAGGGAAAGGCGAAAAGAACCCCGGAGAGGGGAGUGAAAUAGAUCCUGAAACCGUGUGCGUACAAGCAGUAGGAGCUCGCAAGAGUGACUGCGUACCUUUUGUAUAAUGGGUCAGCGACUUACUGUUCGUGGCAAGCUUAACCGUAUAGGGGAGGCGAAGGGAAACCGAGUCUGAUAAGGGCGCAUAGUCGCGGGCAGUAGACCCGAAACCGGGUGAUCUAGUCAUGGCCAGGGUGAAGGUGCCGUAACAGGUACUGGAGGCCCGAACCCACGUCUGUUGCAAAAGACGGGGAUGAGCUGUGAUUAGGAGUGAAAAGCUAAUCGAACCCGGAGAUAGCUGGUUCUCCUCGAAAGCUAUUUAGGUAGCGCCUCGGACGAAUACUACUGGGGGUAGAGCACUGUUAUGGCUAGGGGGUCAUCGCGACUUACCAAACCAUUGCAAACUCCGAAUACCAGUACGUACUAUCCGGGAGACACACGGCGGGUGCUAACGUCCGUCGUGAAAAGGGAAACAACCCAGACCCACAGCUAAGGUCCCAAAUUCACUGCUAAGUGGAAAACGAUGUGGAAAGGCAUAGACAGCCAGGAGGUUGGCUUAGAAGCAGCCACCCUUUAAAGAAAGCGUAAUAGCUCACUGGUCGAGUCGGUCUGCGCGGAAGAUUUAACGGGGCUAAGCAGUGAACCGAAGCUUGGGGUGCGUAAAACUUCGGUUUUAUGCGCGGUAGAGGAGCGUUCCGUAAGCCUGCGAAGGUGGAUUGAGAAGUCCGCUGGAGGUAUCGGAAGUGCGAAUGCUGACAUGAGUAACGAUAAUGCGGGUGAAAAGCCCGCACGCCGAAAGCCCAAGGUUUCCUUGCGCAACGUUAAUCGACGCAGGGUUAGUCGGUCCCUAAGGCGAGGGCGAAAGCCGUAGUCGAUGGGAAGCAGGUUAAUAUUCCUGCACCUCGCGUGAGUGCGAUGGAGGGACGGAGAAGGUUAGGUGUACCGGGCGUUGGUUGUCCCGGGGAAAGGCGGUAGGUUUGGAUCUUUGGCAAAUCCGGGAUCCUUUAAGACCGAGCACCGAGACGAGCCUUUAUGGCAAAGUCACUGAUACCACGCUUCCAGGAAAAGCUCCUAAGCUUCAGCUCACGAAGACCGUACCGUAAACCGACACAGGUGGGUAGGAUGAGAAUUCUCAGGCGCUUGAGAGAACUCGGGUGAAGGAACUAGGCAACAUGGCACCGUAACUUCGGGAGAAGGUGCACCCUUUUUGGUGGCUCAUGCGAGCUAUAGCUGAAGAGGGUCGCAGAAACCAGGCCGCUGCGACUGUUUAUCAAAAACACAGCACUCUGCAAACACGAAAGUGGACGUAUAGGGUGUGACGCCUGCCCGGUGCUGGAAGGUUAAUUGAUGGGGUCAGCCGCAAGGCGAAGCUCUUGAUCGAAGCCCCAGUAAACGGCGGCCGUAACUAUAACGGUCCUAAGGUAGCGAAAUUCCUUGUCGGGUAAGUUCCGACCUGCACGAAUGGCGUAACGACAGCGGCGCUGUCUCCACCCGAGACUCAGUGAAAUUGAAAUCGCUGUGAAGAUGCAGCGUUCCCGUGGCAAGACGGAAAGACCCCGUGAACCUUUACUAUAGCUUUACACUGAACGUUGAGUUCGUCUGUGUAGGAUAGGUGGGAGGCUAUGAAACUGUGGCGCUAGCUGCAGUGGAGCCAUCCUUGAAAUACCACCCUGUCGUGCUUGACGUUCUAACCUAGAUCCGUUAUCCGGAUCAGGGACCGUGUAUGGUGGGUAGUUUGACUGGGGCGGUCUCCUCCUAAAGAGUAACGGAGGAGCACGAAGGUACGCUCAGCGCGGUCGGACAUCGCGCACUGUGUGCAAAGGCAUAAGCGUGCUUGACUGCAAGAUCGACGGAUCAAGCAGGUACGAAAGUAGGUCUUAGUGAUCCGGUGGUUCUGUAUGGAAGGGCCAUCGCUCAACGGAUAAAAGGUACUCCGGGGAUAACAGGCUGAUACCGCCCAAGAGUUCAUAUCGACGGCGGUGUUUGGCACCUCGAUGUCGGCUCAUCACAUCCUGGGGCUGUAGUCGGUCCCAAGGGUAUGGCUGUUCGCCAUUUAAAGUGGUACGCGAGCUGGGUUCAGAACGUCGUGAGACAGUUCGGUCCCUAUCUGCCAUGGGCGUUGGAAGUUUGAGAGGGGCUGCUCCUAGUACGAGAGGACCGGAGUGGACGAACCUCUGGUGUUCCGGUUGUCACGCCAGUGGCAUUGCCGGGUAGCUAUGUUCGGAAGCGAUAACCGCUGAAAGCAUCUAAGCGGGAAGCGCGCCUCAAGAUGAGACUUCCCGGGGCACAAGCCCCCUAAAGGAACCAUAUAGACUAUGUGGUUGAUAGGUCAGGUGUGUAAGUACAGCAAUGUAUUGAGCUAACUGAUACUAAUGAUCCGUGCGGCUUGACCAU
rnacentral:rRNA from 1 species